rnacentral:rRNA from 1 species
UACGGAGGGUGCGAGCGUUAAUCGGAAUUACUGGGCGUAAAGCGCGCGUAGGCGGUUUGAUAAGUCUGAUGUGAAAGCCCUGGGCUUAACCUGGGAAUGGCAUUGGAUACUGUCGGACUCGAGUGUGGUAGAGGGUAGUGGAAUUUCCGGUGUAGCAGUGAAAUGCGUAGAGAUCGGAAGGAACACCAGUGGCGAAGGCGGCUACCUGGACCAACACUGACGCUGAGGUGCGAAAGCGUGGGGAG